UACAGGGGGUGCAAGCGUUAUUCGGAAUUACUGGGCGUAAAGAGCGUGUAGGCGGUUUGUUAAGUCUGGUGUGAAAGCCCUGGGCUCAAUCCAGGAAGUGCAUUGGAUACUGGCAGACUAGAGUAUGGGAGAGGAUGGCGGAAUUCCUGGUGUAGAGGUAAAAUUCGUAGAUAUCAGGAGGAACAACAGUGGCGAAGGCGGCCAUCUGGACCAUUACUGACGCUAAGGCGCGAAAGCGUGGGGAGCAAACAGG
rnacentral:rRNA from 1 species